UACGUAGGGUCCGAGCGUUGUCCGGAAUUACUGGGCGUAAAGAGCUCGUAGGUGGUUUGUCGCGUUGUUCGUGAAAACUCACAGCUCAACUGUGGGCGUGCGGGCGAUACGGGCAGACUGGAGUACUGCAGGGGAGACUGGAAUUCCUGGUGUAGCGGUGGAAUGCGCAGAUAUCAGGAAGAACACCGGUGGCGAAGGCGGCUCUCUGGGCCUUACCUGACGCUGAGGAGCGAAAGCGUGGGUAGCGAACAGG
rnacentral:rRNA from 1 species